UACCACUUCAAACGCUAAUUUAUUUUUUAAACCUAUUCUAAAACGUGUUACCAUGAUAAUCUGAUGGAGAAAUCGUGGGAAUAUUGAGGGAAUCAAAGGAUUGAAGAGAGAGAGUGUUCUUAUCGUUUUUUUUAAAAAGAGAAGAAAUUUUUGAGUUCUUGCACUUGGGAAAAAUCUGGGCAGUAAAGAGCAUUGUAGAAUCAUUCUAGGGGAGGAAAUAAACAUUUAGAGUGUGAGAAAUACAUUUAUAAAGCCUCGGAUUGUGAUUCACCAUUUUUAUCCAAGAAAAUGCAUAUUCUUGGAUAAUUUUGGAUUUAAGUGUGUUCAAGAGUGUAUGGUGUGCGUGGUUGGUGAUAAACAAGCUUAGGGGACUCCAAUAAUCGGUUUUGACGUGAAGAAACGGGCUGAAAUGGUCUAGAGCAAGAAAAACUAAUUUUGAGCUCCAUUUUUGGCGGUACACCGGACUUGGAGAAGAAGACUUCGGAACAAGGGGUUACGGACAUCUUUUUGGGCUGGGGUCUAUUGAUUUGAAGUUCUGGACAUAAGGGGAUCAUUUUCCAAGCAAGAGAAGGGUUGGAAAGCAGCAAAACUCAGCCAUAGAGUCGCCGUCGCCGGAGAAGAAGACAAAACCGGCGAUAUUUCCGACGAACCCGAUCUGGGUGUUAACUGAGGAGCUAGCGGUCAUCGAGGUGACGCAGCGAGUGGUUCGAGACACGUCAGCGGAAAACGCACUGUUUAAGGUAAAGGCAAAGCAAAGCAGUGAGUGGUGCGGGCUCGAGGCAUGGACGAAACAUGUUAGAGGCUGGGCUCCAGUUAUUUUAUGUUUUUAGAAAUAAAUGUUAUGUUUUUUAAAAUUUUCACACUUGAAUGGUUAUUUUCUUUAUGUUUUGUUA